GCUUAGAAGCAGCCACUCAUUAAAAGAGUGCGUAAUAGCUCACUGGUCGAGUGACCCUGCGCCGAAAAUUCAACGGGGCUAAACAAUGUACCGAAGCUUGGGAUUCUAAAGUAAUUUAGAGUGGUAGGAGAGCGUCGAAUAAGGGGUGAAGUCAGAGCGGAAGCGCUGGUGGACUUUAUUCGAGUGAGAAUGCCGGAAUGAGUAGCGAGAAUUAUGUGAGAAUCAUAAUGGCCGAAAAUCUAAGGUUUCCUGAGGAAGGUUCGUCCGCUCAGGGUAAGCCGGGGGCUAAGGCGAGGCGGAGACGCGUAGCCGAUGCACAUACGGUUGAAAUUCCGUAGCCACCGAAAGAUUUAAGUACAGGGACGCUUUAGAAGUGAUGUAGCCGGGCGAUGGUUGACCCGGUCGUAAGGGAUCGAAAAUGAGUAGAGAAGUCAUCAUGGAAAGAGACAAGAAAAGCUGUAUGAAUAUCUUAGGUGCCCGUACCGCAAACCGACACAGGUAGAUAGGAAGAAGAUUCUAAGGCCAACGGGAGAAGGGUUGUUAAGGAACUCGGCAAGUUGACCCCGUAACUUAGGGAUAAGGGGUGCUCAAGUGAUUGAGCCGCAGAGAAUAGGCCCAGGCGACUGUUUAGCAAAAACACAGGUCUCUGCUAAAUCGAAAGAUGACGUAUAGGGGCUGACACCUGCCCGGUGCCGGAAGGUUAAGAGGAGAUGUGAGAGCAUUGAAUUGAAGCCCCGGUAAACGGCGGCCGUAACUAUAACGGUCCUAAGGUAGCGAAAUUCCUUGUCAGGUAAGUUCUGACCCGCACGAAUGGCGUAAUGAUCUGGGCACUGUCUCGACAGCCCACCCGGCGAAAUUGUAGUACUGGUGAAGAUGCCAGUUACCCGCAACUAGACGGAAAGACCCCAUGGAGCUUUACUGCAGCUUAAUACUGGAAAUCGGUAAUUCAUGUACAGGAUAGGUGGGAGACGGAGAAGCAUGGUCGUCAGGUCAUGUGGAGUCGCCCUUGGGAUACCACUCUUGGAUUGCUGGUUUUCUAACCUGCGGCCGUGAAUCCGGUCGGGGGACACUGUUAGGCGGGCAGUUUGACUGGGGCGGUCGCCUCCAAAAAGGUAACGGAGGCGCUCAAAGGUUCGUUCAGCACGGACGGAAAUCGUGCAUUGAGUGUAAACGCAUAAACGAGCCUAACUGCGAGACCGACGGGUCGAGCAGUAACGAAAGUUGGAGUUAGUGAUCCGGUGGUAUGUGAGUGGAAAUGCCAUCGCUCAACGGAUAAAAGUUACCCUGGGGAUAACAGGCUGAUCUCCCCCAAGAGUCCACAUCGACGGGGAGGUUUGGCACCUCGAUGUCGGCUCAUCGCAUCCUGGGGCUGAAUUCGGUCCCAAGGGUUUGGCUGUUCGCCAAUUAAAGCGGCACGCGAGCUGGGUUCAGAACGUCGUGAGACAGUUCGGUCCCUAUCUGUUGCGGGCGUAAGAGAUUUGAAGGGAGCUGUCCUUAGUACGAGAGGACCGGGAUGGACGUACCUCUGGUGCACCAGUUGUCCUGCCAAGGGCAUAGCUGGGUAGCUAUGUACGGACGAGAUAAACGCUGAAAGCAUCUAAGCGUGAAACUCCCCCUAAGAUGAGAUCUCUCAUUCG
rnacentral:rRNA from 1 species